AAGCUAUGAAGAUUUUAUAGUUCAGCUUACCCCAGCGGAUUGAUGAUAAAUUUCGCCCCUAUCUGAGCUUU
rnacentral:snoRNA from 16 species